rnacentral:rRNA from 1 species
UACGGAGGGGGCUAGCGUUGUUCGGAAUUACUGGGCGUAAAGCGCACGUAGGCGGCUUUGUAAGUUAGAGGUGAAAGCCCGGGGCUCAACUCCGGAAUUGCCUUUAAGACUGCAUCGCUAGAAUUGUGGAGAGGUAAGUGGAAUUCCGAGUGUAGAGGUGAAAUUCGUAGAUAUUCGGAAGAACACCAGUGGCGAAGGCGGCAUCCUGGACCAACACUGACACUGAGGAGCGAAAGCCAGGGGAGCAAACGGG